GUUUCGCAACGACUACUGGCCCGUCAACUGGAGCUGCCUCAACGAGCGCCACAAUGUCAUCCACUCGCACACAGACGAAACAGCACCGAGGACACCACACACACGCACUCGAAAGAGGAAACAUUUGCGAUUUCCUUGCGCGACGUUUCCUGCCGUCAUAAAGAGUAAGAGCAAGAGUAGGCGAAAAAAGCGCCACUCUCUUUCGACGUUAGCGCAAACUCGCUCGCAUGUGGAUCCCAUUUGCUUGUGGAGCAAAGUAUGAGUAGUUGGUGUGCGGGGGAGGUGAGUUGUUGCUGGCACAGCUUUCCUGGAAAAACUCUCUCGCUAGCGCAUUAAAUAUUUAAAAUUAUUGAUUACAUUUCUGGACCUGCUUCACCUUUCACCGCCCAGCCCGCCCACACAAACAAAACAAACUCAACGUUACUUUGUAUUAACUUGAACUGUAGCAGAGAUUUCUGCGAUUUAAGAGCGAGCUGCGCUCUCUUCGGCUCUCGUUGUUUCGGCGUAUAAGACGGAGAGCGGCUGCCUGUUGAUAAGCAUUUACAUUUACAUAAGGUACUUGAUAUAUUAUAACCAGAUGAGUGAAUAUCAGACAAUGGUGAUUUACCCCAUAGUGCGAGAAAAGGAGCUUUAAUAAGCGGGCUACAAAUAAUAAGCGCUGCAUUGUAAAUCAGUCCCUCGUUUUAAUGGACC